AGAGAGCCCCGCCCAGCGCUGGAAAAAGGUAAGUUUUAACCCCUUUCCCCCUUCCAGAGCCGGGCGGGAGGGGGACCCUGAGGGUGGGGGCACCCUCAGGGCACUAUAGUGCCAGGAAAACGGUUAUGUUUUCCUGGCACUAUAGUGGUCCUUUAAGGUCUUUUUUAUUGAUAAAACAGAUAAGGUUCAUUUAACGAUCUUACAGGUCAGGAAUCUCCACUAGAUAAUAUCACGUACUGUGAAAUGACAUAUCACAUUUGUGGCUAGUGUGUCAGUCCCUUGGGUAAGCAAAAGAAUAUCAGUUUCACUGCAGUAAGCAAUUGCACGCACACAGAAGUUCCGUUUUAUUAAAGGGAUCCUACAGUGCCAGGAAUACAUGUGUAGGUCCCCCGCUCCCUCGGGGCCGCACUCCUGCAGAGCUGAAGGGGAUAAAACCUGGGUCAGGCUCAGCCCACGCUCCUCCCCCGCCGCCGUCAGCUGGCAGGGGAGACCUACUGCGCAUGCGCGGCACUGGGCGCGCGCGCAUUAGACCUCCCCAUAGGAAAACCAUUAUUCAAUGCUUUCCUACAGGGAAAAUCUGAUGCUGGAGGUCCGUGAGGAUGUCCAGCGUCAGAUAACGGACCAAAAAAAGUUAGACAGCCACAGAGGGCAGACUUAGAGCUGCAAUGUAAAAAUGUUGUUCAAGAAUGGGUAGGACAUUGACUCACUAAUCCAUAUACAGCAAAGACAUCGGAAUGUGGUUCGGACUAGAGAAGUGCUAUAUAUAUAUAAGACAGUCCAGUCCUUGCACUCAGAUAUAUCCAGCAAAUAAUGCAAAACAUUGUUGCAGGGUGCAUGAAUUUAGCCACAACCAAAAAAUACAAAAUAUAAAUAUGGGCUAGCACUCACGGUCUUUUGAAGUAAAAUCAAUUAUUUAUUGAAGAAUCUCUAAAAAUCAAUGUUUCAACCCAAGUUCUGAGCUUUCAUCAUGAUCAACAAAACAAAUAUAAUACGAACAGCUUAAUAUGCACCAAUAUAUAACCCAAAGAAAGA